UACGGGGGGGCAAGCGUUGUUCGGAAUUACUGGGCGUAAAGGGCUCGUAGGUGGCCAACUAAGUCAGACGUGAAAUCCCUCGGCUUAACCGGGGAACUGCGUCUGAUACUGGAUGGCUUGAGUUUGGGAGAGGGAUGCGGAAUUCCAGGUGUAGCGGUGAAAUGCGUAGAUAUCUGGAGGAACACCGGUGGCGAAGGCGGCAUCCUGGACCAACACUGACACUGAUGAGCGAAAGCCAGGGAGCAAACGGG
rnacentral:rRNA from 1 species